ACGGAGGGUGCAAGCGUUAUCCGGAAUCACUGGGCGUAAAGGGCGCGUAGGCGGUCUGUUAAGUCCGAUGUUAAAUCCCGGGGCUCAACCCCGGAUCAGCGUUGGAUACUGGCAGGCUCGACGGUUGGAGAGGCGAGUGGAAUUACCAGUGUAGCGGUGGAAUGCGUAGAUACUGGUAGGAACACCCAUUGCGAAGGCAGCUCGCUGGACAACACGUGACGCUGAGGCGCGAAAGUGUGGGGAGCAAACCG
rnacentral:rRNA from 1 species